UACGUAGGGAGCGAGCGUUGUCCGGAAUCAUUGGGCGUAAAGAGCAUGUAGGUGGAUCAAUUAGUCUGCUGUGAAAGUCAAAGGCUCAACCUUUGAAAGCCGGUGGAUACUGUUGAUCUAGAGUACGGAAGAGGCGAGUGGAAUUCCUGGUGUAGCGGUGGAAUGCGCAGAUAUCAGGAGGAACACCGGUGGCGAAGGCGGUUCUCUGGGCCUUACCUGACGCUGAGGAGCGAAAGCGUGGGGAGCGAACAGG
rnacentral:rRNA from 1 species